rnacentral:lncRNA from 1 species
UGGCCAGGAAGCGCUCAGUGGGGUCCUUUGUAUCCCUCUUAUCAGCAUAGAACUGCUGCAGGCACUGGAAGGCGUCCAUCAUGCGCACGGUGUCGUUGAUCAGCAGUGCAUCAUUGUACCUGCGCAGGUGCAGGGCGCACACCCGCGUCUUGCGACAAAACCUCUCCGCCGCUCUGUUCUCCAGCUCCACGAUGCGCUGCUCAUACACCUGCG